AUACGGAGGAUGCGAGCGUUAUCCGGAUUUAUUGGGUUUAAAGGGUGCGUAGGCUGUGCGUUAAGUCAGGGGUGAAAUGCCGUCGCUCAACGACGGAGCUGCCCUUGAUACUGGCGUGCUGGAGUACGGAUGCCGUUGGAGGAAUGAGUGGUGUAGCGGUGAAAUGCUUAGAUAUCACUCAGAACACCGAUUGCGAAGGCAUCCGACGAAUCCGUCACAGGCGCUGAGGCACGAAAGCGUGGGGAUAGAACAGGAUUAGAUACCCUGGUAUUCCACGCCGUAAACGAUGAUGACUAACCGUCGGCGAUAGACAGCCGGUGGCCAAGCGAAAGCGAUAAGUCAUCCACCUGGGGAGUACGUCGGCAACGAUGAAACUCAAAUGAAUUGGCGGGG
rnacentral:rRNA from 1 species